UAGGUCGACCCGCUGAACUUAAGCAUAUCAGUAAGCGGUGGAAAGGAAACUAACAAGGAUUCCCUUAGUAACGGCGAGUGAACAGGGAAAAGGCCAUGCCGAAUCCUGCAGAGUGAAUCUGUUGGGAGAUGUAGCGUAUGGUUACCGUCUCUGCCCGUUGUAGCUGUCAAUAAAUCCGUAUGAUUGCGGUCCCAUUGAGGGUGUAAGGCCCGUAAUGGUCAGCUAUGACGUGUCAUGAUGGUAUCCUUGAGUAGGGUUGUUUGAGAUUGCAGCCCGAAUUAGUUGGUAAACUCCAUCUAAGCCUAAAUAUAACACAAGUCCGAUAGCGAACAAGUACCGUGAGGGAAAGUUGAAAAGAACUUUGAAGAGAGAGUUCAAUAGUACGUGAAAUUGCUCAAAGGUAAACGAUUGGAGCCGAAAGUGGUGUGGUGGUUCAUGUUAGUGAUGUGUGAUUGGUGUGUUAAGUAAGCUCUUUUCGGCUGCUUGAUGCAUUUUUUUUGCAUGUUGCUGGCUAUCGUUCCCCAUGCCUUAACCACGAACAAUGCUUUAGAACACUAUCGUUGAGAGGAUGGUAGGGUUAUGCCUUUUUGGUGUAGCUUGAAACCUUUUGGCAUGGUCGUUUUGUGGUAUUGGGAUAAGCGAUGCAAGCCUUUUAGGCGCACAUGUAAGCGCUGUCCUGUAUGCACUUGCUAGACUCUUUUUCGAGAUUAGUGAGUGUUUUAUGAGAUAGGUCAGUUUGCCUCUGUGUAUUGUGUCUAUAUUCUGUGGUUCUUCUAGUAGGUAGUCCAAUCGACCCGUCUUGAAACACGGACCAAGGAGUUUAGCUUAUGCGCGAGUCAAUGAGUCUUACGAAACUCAAAGGCGUAGUGAAAGUAAAGGCUUCUUUUUCGAAGCUGAGGUGUGAUCCGUGUUUGUCUUCUUUUUCGAAGUCGAUGCGGCGCAACACCGGCUCGUCCUAUUAUUUUUAAUAGGGGCGAAGCAAGAGCGCAUAGGCUGAGACCCGAAAGAUGGUGAUCUAUGCUUGUGUAGGAUGAAGCCAGGGGAAACUCUGGUGGAAGUCCGUAGCGGUUCUGACGUGCAAAUCGAUCGUCAAACAUGAGUAUAGGGGCGAAAGACUAAUCGAACCAUCUAGUAGCUGGUACCCACUGAAGUUUCCCUCAGGAUAGCUGGCCUUUGGAAACUGUUUUAUCUGGUAAAGCAAAUGAUUAGAGGUACUGGGGAAGUAAUUUCCUCAACCUAUUCUCAAACUUUAAAUGGGUAAGAUGUCAAACUCUCUUUACUGGAGUUUGGCAUUGAAAGUUAAGGCCAAGUGGGCCAUUUUUGGUAAGCAGAACUGGCGCUGUGGGAUGAACCAAACGUGGAGGUAAGGUGCCAAACAAAGCGGUUAUCAGACACCACAAAAGGUGUUGGUUGAUCUAGACAGCAGGACGGUGGCCAUGGAAGUUGGAAUCCGCUAAGGAGUGUGUAACAACUCACCUGCCGAAUCAACCAGCCCUGAAAAUGGAUGGCGCUGGACCGCUUGACCUAUACUCCACUGUCAUGAUAUUUGCCAAGGAUGUCAUGACAAGUAAGUGGGUGACAUGGUACGCACUGAAGCCACUGAUGUGAAUCAGGGUGGAGCUGCCAUGUGUACAGAUCUUGGUGGUAGUAGCAAUUAUUCAAGUGAGAACCUUGAAGACUGAAGUGGAGAAGGGUUCC
rnacentral:rRNA from 1 species